GUCCACGCCGUAAACGAUGGGCACUAGAUGUGGGCGGUGUCGACUCCGUCCGUGUCGCAGCUAACGCAUUAAGUGCCCCGCCUGGGGAGUACGGCCGCAAGGCUAAAACUCAAAGGAAUUGACGGGGGCCCGCACAAGCAGCGGAGCAUGUGGUUUAAUUCGAUGCAACGCGAAGAACCUUACCUGGGCUUGACAUGUCCGUGCAAACCAUAGAAAUAUGGUCCCUCUUCGGAGCGCGGUCACAGGUGGUGCAUGGCUGUCGU
rnacentral:rRNA from 1 species